rnacentral:rRNA from 1 species
CGCCAGACUCCUACGGGAGGCAGCAGUGGGGAAUAUUGCACAAUGGGGGAAACCCUGAUGCAGCGACGCCGCGUGAGCGAUGAAGUAUUUCGGUAUGUAAAGCUCUAUCAGCAGGGAAGAAAAUGACGGUACCUGACUAAGAAGCCCCGGCUAACUACGUGCCAGCAGCCGCGGUAAUACGUAGGGGGCAAGCGUUAUCCGGAUUUACUGGGUGUAAAGGGAGCGUAGACGGCUGUGCAAGCCAGAUGUGAAAGCCCGGGGCUCAACCCCGGGACUGCAUUUGGAACUGUGUGGCUGGAGUGUCGGAGAGGCAGGCGGAAUUCCUAGUGUAGCGGUGAAAUGCGUAGAUAUUAGGAGGAACACCAGUGGCGAAGGCGGCCUGCUGGACGAUGACUGACGUUGAGGCUCGAAAGCGUGGGGAGCAAACAGGAUUAGAUACCCGUGUA